rnacentral:rRNA from 1 species
UGGGGAAUUUUGGACAAUGGGCGAAAGCCUGAUCCAGCAAUGCCGCGUGUGUGAAGAAGGCCUUCGGGUUGUAAAGCACUUUUGUCCGGAAAGAAAUCCUUGGCUCUAAUACAGUCGGGGGAUGACGGUACCGGAAGAAUAAGCACCGGCUAACUACGUGCCAGCAGCCGCGGUAAUACGUAGGGUGCAAGCGUUAAUCGGAAUUACUGGGCGUAAAGCGUGCGCAGGCGGUUUGCUAAGACCGAUGUGAAAUCCCCGGGCUCAACCUGGGAACUGCAUUGGUGACUGGCAGGCUAGAGUAUGGCAGAGGGGGGUAGAAUUCCACGUGUAGCAGUGAAAUGCGUAGAGAUGUGGAGGAAUACCGAUGGCGAAGGCAGCCCCCUGGGCCAAUACUGACGCUCAUGCACGAAAGCGUGGGGAGCAAACAGGAUUAGAUACCCUGGUAGUCCACGCCCUAAACGAUGUCAACUAGUUGUUGGGGAUUCAUUUCCUAGUAACGUAGCUAACGCGUGAAGUUGACCGCCUGGGGAGUACGGUCGCAAGAUUAAAACUCAAAGAAUUGACGGGGUCAUAGCUGUUUCCU